GGCCAGGCUAGGAAAGGUCAGGCAACAAAAAGCAAGGCACGGCAAAGGAAUGAAAGUCAAGGUAAUGCAAAGCAAGGCAAAGCAAAGCAAGGCCAGGCAAGACAAGGACAGGUCAGGCCAGGCCAGGCCAAGCAAAGCAAGGCAAGGCAAGGCAAGACAAGGAAACUCAGAUCAAGGCCAGGCCAGGAAAGGCAAGGUAAGGCAAGGCAAGGCAAGGCCAGGCAAGGACAGCCAGGCCAGUCCAGGCAAGGCUAGGCAAGGCAAGGCCAGGCAAGGCAAAGGAAGGACAUGCAAGGCAAGGCCAGGCAAGGCAAGGCCAGGCAAGGCAAAGGAAGGACAUGCAAGGCAAGGCCAGGCAAGGCAAGGCCAGGCCAGGCCAGGCCAGGCAAGGCAAGGCAAGGCAAGGCAAGGCAAGGCAAGGCAAAGCAAGGCAAGGCAAGGCAAG
rnacentral:lncRNA from 1 species